UUAUAUACUUUUUUUGCUCUCGGAUGAGGAAACUGAGGCUUACAGUGGUGAAACAGCUAAGGCUCAGUGAAAACUCUCAGCCUUCAGACAGUCCCCAGGCCUGAUGGCACAGGACAGAUAAACCUAUAAGUGGUCCCUCUGCUGAAGUACCAGGUAGGGAGAAGAGUGAAGCUGGGGGGUUGGGGACAUUCAGUUUUCUCAGUAAUCCAAAGUUGUCCUGAAAGUGACCAGGCAGCAUUCCUGUCCUGAGUGAUUCUGCAACCCUGCCUUGCUGCCAAGUCAGCACUCAGCUCCAUACACCAGGCUGUUCUCCUUGCCUCCCAGGGAAUUACUACAAAGAAUGCACCUAAGUGCUGAGAAGGCAAGCUGUGGUGGGGCAAUCCGAGGAGGGCGGCGCCCUCCAGGAAGACUUCCGGGAGGAGCACCUUUACCAGGGGAAGAUAUUGUCAUGGCAAUGGGAGGUGAUGGAAUCCUGCCAGAUUGCCCAGGCUGGUCUCGAACUCCCGGACUCAAACUAUUCCCCUGCCUCAGCCUCCCAAAGUGCUAGGAUUACAGGCGUGAGACACUGUGCCCGGCCCAGGACAGGUCUCCUGGGAAACUGAAGCUCACAGGAGUGAUGUCACUUGCACAAAAUCACGUGGAGAUGCCUUCAAACCCAGGUGUGACUACAGCCAGUUUGGCAGACGGUCACCAGAUACCACCACACCCAAGUACUGCAGGGCAGCUUGGUGCCUCCCGAAUCAGACUUUCCAGCCAUGGAGGGGGCAGUGGCUGCACCCUCCUUUCUCCCAUGCCAAGGCCCUCCCCACAACCACUCUGCUCCAGGCUGCUGCUGAGACCUGCAGGGAGACUGACAGACGCCGUCAGCCAGCAGGCUUACAAAACUCACAUGCUGUGCCGCCUGAUGCAGGCCCUCUGGCUGCAGCUGGAGAGAUCAGAUUGUCUAGUUCAAUCCUCUGGGCCCAGAGAAGGCAAAGGACUUGUCCAAGGUUACACAACCAAUAAAAGGCCUCCCUGCCUGU